rnacentral:tRNA from 1 species
GCCCCGGUAGCUCAGCCUGGCCAGAGCGACGGAUGUGCGAGCCGUAGGUCACGGGUUCGAAACCCGUCCGGGGCUCCA